AGAAAGCUAAGUAACCGAGUGGCCCCCUGCAGUCUGCUCUUAUCCGCAGAAACCGGAGAAGGGAAUGGGCGCUACACAAACGCAUACGCUUACCAACAACUUUCAACCAUAUAUAUAUAUAUAUAUAUAUAUAUACAUAUAUACUCAUAGAUGCAUGCAAGAACGUGCGCCUCUGCCUCAUUUACAUGAGCAUGCCCAACGGCAAUUGCACCGGCGGAUUGCAUCUGUUAUCGCUGUCGUGAGCAUUCACGUACUCACAUAUUGAUGUGCCUCCGUCGGCACCAUGUCGAGGGCAGUCAAGCCAGUGAAGCGAGUGACCUUUGGCCCGGUGACAUACUUCUCGGCCCCUCUCAUCGAAGCCUCACAAGGCUCAGACUCACAUGAAAGCAGCCGUCUCGUAGAUGCGCUGGCGCUGCGCCAGCGCGUGUCGAGGCCAGCGACAGUGGCGAUCGUCGCUUCUGGGGCAGCGCCGCCCCUACAGAAUGAAGUGGACGGGCUCCUCAGGGCCGGAGAGCUGGAGGAGUACGCGGCGCAGCCAACGCUGUUCCUCGGCGCAGCCGUGGACAAACCUCAUGCAGCACUGUCGUCUGUCCAACAGGCCGCUAAUGUCGCCACUGAAGACAACUGGGAGGGAGGCGACACGGAGGACCAGACGCCGGUGUCACAUCCGCGCGCGACUCCCGCCACCUCAUCGGUGACUCGACAGGAGUCGUCCGACAACGAAGCGUACGACACACCGGUGGAGAGCAGGCCUGCCACACGGCGCCAUCUGAUGCGUGCGGCAAGGCUAGACGGUGCGGGGACCCGUGAACCGCCACCGUCGAUUUUGGAAAAGUCGCCUACGCUUUCGCAGCUGGUGUCCGCAGUGGACGACGUCCUUGGCGGCUCCCAGCGCACCCCACGCAGUCCUUUGGCUGCUUCCUCCUCUGCCUUUGCUCCUCGAGGCAGCUGCUAUUCAACGGAGGCCGCAGCGGAACGAUCAAGCACGACGAACUCUUUUCCGCCGACGCCAAUGAGUCUGGCAAAGGUGCAAAAGACCGACGCAUAUGACACGAGAGAAGCCGGUGGAUGCGCCGACCCACUGCUCGCGGCGAGGUGCAUGCUCCACCACCGGGAAGGAGACGAGAGCAUCACCGCAAGCGGGUCGGCCGUGGCGCUGAUUGUGCCCCAUAACGCAAGUGACAAGGUGCACCCAUCCUUCUGCGUCUUCUGCGGCAUUGGUGCGAACUGCGGGAAUGCUCACGAGACACUUCCACUCUGCUUCUCUGACGACAUCGCGUAUCACACGGCGUGUGCCCUCUGGUGUCCAGAGGUCUUCUACGACAUCGAACUCGGCACACUGAAAGGCAUUGCAGACGCGGCGCACCGAGCUCGCCUUAUCAAGUGCGCGUGGUGCCGCCAACCAGGAGCGGGGGUCGGCUGCGCCUGGCCAACGUGUCAGCUGAGCUUUCACGUCCCUUGCGCGGUAAAAGCGCGGGCGUCGAUUAAUGUGCAGGCAUUUGUGCUCUACUGUCCAGCCCAUAGAUCAGCCACCGUCAGCAGAACUGCGGCAGAUCAGCUUGGGCCCCCAGGCGGCGAGGCGGCUCUGAAGAGGACGAAGGUUGAAGAGCGCCCUGGCGCCUCUCGCUUCUUCUGAGGAGCAGGCGCGACGAGCAUACGAGUUGUCUUUGGAGCCAGCACCGACGCCUUUCUCCUCCGCUACGAUGUGCAAACCGGCAAGAAUGCGGUACAACGCCGCUUUCAGAGGUAGACGCCGUUCGUCUUUUUCACGCCUGCCCUACCUGGGAGGACUGCCACAAUCCCAAGCCAGUUUUGAAAGCAAACAGCACCACUGCUGCGGAAUCGCGAGAAAGGCGUCAAUGAAAGCGAGAGGCCCUCUAUCGACGCUCACGAAGAGUCUCCAACGACUUUCCUCCUUCUGCUGUCGUGUUUUCUUUUUCUUUCGUGUCUGUGCACCUUGCCACAUCGGGGUACACGUCUGCCUGCACGCACCUCUCCCACAAUGCACGGGUGUCUUCUCUCCGUGUCUUUCAUCAGCAUAAAAUGUGCUUGCAUCUGCGCCUCGUAUUUGAUCAGCCGUCUCUCUAUUUCUCAUCUGCUCCUUUUGUUUCUCUUGCUCCUUCGUCGGCCAUCGAUUUCAG
rnacentral:misc_RNA from 1 species